AAGCCGAUCUGUAUAAUACAGAUCAACACUACUAAUUAGAUGUCGAAAAACUACCAAGUUCAAGAACCCAUAAGUAAGUUUGUGAUGAAUUGGGGCUUGUAGAUCAGUUGGAAGAUCGCUGCCUUUGCAAGGCAGAGGCCAUGGGUUCGAGUCCCAGCAAGUCCACUUACAUUUUUUAAUGCACCGAGUAAUUAAUUUUAUUUGGGAAGGAUAGAUUUGUUUAAAUACCCACCCGGUAUUUAUGAGAAAUAUUUUCUCUUAUGUAUUUAGCUUUUUUGCUUUUGCAUAAAACAAAGUGAAAUCGUGUAUAUGAAUGGCAUAUUAGACGCUCACUGAAUAUAAGUGAGAGUGAUUCUGGUAC
rnacentral:tRNA from 1 species